rnacentral:lncRNA from 1 species
CCGUGUUUGAAGUAAAUGAUAAAGAAUCAAGAUGUGGAGAAGCAUGGCAUCUUUUGGGAGCUGAAUUUUAAGACCAGUCUGGAAAUUAUCCCGGGACUGAGGGUUAGCAAAACACUAAGGAACCCAGCAGGCUAAGGAGACAGCAAAAUAAAGAGACAGAGAAGUAUAAUGCUUAGGGCAUUGGAUUUAGACUCAGGAGGCACGGAUUUAGCGUCCUGCCUCAGACACUAGCUGUGUGACCCCCGAGCAAGUUCUCUGGGUCUGUUUCUGCAUCUAUAUAAUAUGAAAGGACAGAAAAGAAUAAGUAUUUACUGUGCUAAAAUAUCUCAUUUGAUCUUCACAAUAAAGCACUUUCAGAUAGAUGCUCUUAUUAUCUUCAUUUUACAUAAGAGGCAAUCAGCUGAGAGAGAUUUUGUGACUUGCCCAGUCACACUACUAGUAAGAGACUGAGGUCCUAUUUUGACACCAGUCUUCUUGAUUCCAGGCCCAGUUAUUUAGCGCUUACUGUGUGCCAGGCGCUGUGUGAGAUACUUAUUCUCUCAUUCGACCCUCACACAAACCUUACGAGGUAGAUGCUAUUAGCCCCCUCUUUGCAGAUGAGGAAACUGAAGCAAGCUGAGGUUAAAUGUCUUGUCCAGGGUCUCGCGUUUGAGGUGAAUUUUGAACUCGGGUCUUCUCGACUCCAGGCCCAUCGCUACAUCCAUUGGGCCACCAGCUGCUUCCUGCAGGUCGAGGUCGGACUUGACAUGAGGUUCCUUCUUCCUCUAUAGCUACGAUUCUACUCUUACUUUAUACUAAACUCGCCCCCAGGACGCCUUAGGGCAGGUCCAAAGCAGGGAGUGCAGUGGAAAGCUCAAUAGUCAAAUCAGUCAACAAAUACUUACUAAAGCGCCUACUACGUAUCAGGCAUUGUACAAAGCUCUGGGUUUAGGGAUCCCCCUGAAUUUCUUUCCACAUGCCAAUCUAAAUGAGGCUACCCCCUGUGCCAAUGACCUAGUCCAAGGCAGCGUGAGCCACGUACAAUCGUAGUCUUUCCUCCCUUCCCUCCUCCCCACCGACUGAAGAUCCGCGUAAUUAGAGUCCCCGCCCAGCUCGACUCAUUCUUCGCUGCUAAACCCACCUCCCCUCGGCCGUGUUGCCACCACGGCCGCCGCCCGCCGCACACCAACGUGCUGGGGCUCCCGGCAACGUCUAGUUUCGAACUGGCUGAGCGUGCAACUGCUGCAGCGGCGGCAGCGGCGCCUCACCUCUGGCUGCUCAAGUGGCUCCAGUCUCUCCCCGCCCAACGCAACCGAAGGAGCGUGCGGCGGAGGUGCGAGGUGGGGCGCAGGGAAGGAGGGAUCCCGGGACAUCCCUCCCCUUCUCUCCCGGGAAUCACAGCGGCGGGAGCAGCAGCAGCAGGUGGAACUGGACUUGUUUGGUGCUCCAGUACGGCCGCAGGGGACUGCGGUCUGAUGAGCCGAGCUUUGGUGGGUCGGAGCUGGCUUAUUUUCGCUUCCAUCUCCAGCCUUCCGGGGAUGCCACGGGCAUUCUAGAGGAGACUUUCCGGGGCUGCGGCGCCUCCAGAGUGCACGGCAUCCACGAGGAGGGAGCCGCGGCGUGAGGGCUGAGCUCCAGGAAGACACGAUUUGUUUUCGUUUCUCCUUUCCACAACCCAGAAGACCUCCCGUCCCGGGGAAGAACCUGUGGCCGGAGCUGAGAUAGUGGGUCCCUUAACGCAGUGGAGCCGGGUUGUGCCGGGCACUGCGCCGCCGUUUCUCGCGUGCGCCUGGGAAGUGCCAAAGCUGUCCAGAGUCCCGGGGCGCACCUGGAUUAAGAUAAUUGCCUUUGAUGAAUUAAGGACAGAUUUCAAGAGCCCCAUAGACCAGUGUAAUCCUGUUCAUGCGAGGGAACGGCUGAGAAACAUCGAACGCAUCUGCUUCCUUUUGAGAAAACUGGUGCUGCCAGAAUACUCAAUUCAUAGCCUUUUCUGUAUCAUGUUCCUGUGUGCUCAGGAGUGGCUGACACUGGGGCUGAAUGUUCCUCUGCUCUUCUAUCACUUUUGGAGGUAUUUCCAUUGCCCUGCAGAUAGUUCUGAACUAGCCUAUGAUCCUCCUGUGGUCAUGAAUGCAGACACCUUAAGUUACUGUCAAAAGGAGGCCUGGUGUAAGCUGGCAUUCUAUCUCCUCUCCUUCUUCUACUAUCUUUACUGCAUGAUCUACACUUUAGUGAGUUCUUAACUGAGAGAUAACCUAUGUCACCAGAGACUGACACCAGCAAAAGGACAAAGGCUUGAGGAGAGAAGGCGAUCGAUACUGGAGAUUGGAUCGGAAGGACCUGGAGGAGGUGGUGGAUUUGGAAUUGGAGGCCAUUGGUUGAACGUGUGGAGGAAAACCAGGGAGAAGGGAAAGAGAGACGCAGUGGGCAGAAUGACUGGUUCAGAAUGCAGCUCGUGGGCUGGCUGACUGUGAAGGGCUCUUUUACUCUGUGUGUUGCAGUGGCUGGCAUUCCCACACAUGAACUGUGUAUCACUCCUGAGAAUCGGGGAGGUGGGGGAGAGCACAAAGCCAAACCUCUCAUGGGGGAGAACUGCUGCUUACCCAGAGUACUCCGGAAAACAGCUCCCUGCAGUUGCUUUUCACACUGGGUUCCUGGUAACAGUUCAGAUGGACUGUGGGAGUGGAGGCUGGGCUGGCUCUCUGCAAAGGGAUUUGAAUGCUCAGAAUACACUUCCGAGCCAGAGAUGUGGCCUGUGUGGAUAGCUGACAACAGAGAAACUCUUCUUGCCUCUUCCAAGCCCUUCCGGUGCCCCCUUUGGCUAGCAGUCAUGUGUGGUCUUCCUCUGGGCAGCCUCUGAGAGUAAAACAUCCAGGGGAGGUUCAUUUUUUUGUCAUGUUCCAAUUGAUUGGUGAUGGAAUGUUGCUAGGAUUCCACAAUUAAGUUUGCUAAGAAUUCUCUCCAAAGCUGGGUAAAGGAAUAUUUCCCCCCCCCCCAAAAAAAUGGCAAAUAAGUGACUCUUUAUGGAACUCUGUUCUUAGCCCCUAGUGAUGAUGUAUCCUGUAAAAACCAGACAAGGUUUUUUCAUUCAAUGUUAAUUGGGUUUGAUAUCUCAUUAGGGAAUGUGGGUUUGAAUCUUAGCUUUACUACCUGUGAAAUUCUGAGUGAACCACUCCCUGGUCCUCAGUUUCCUCAUCUGUAUGGCAUAGAGACCCCACUGUUCUAAUUCUUAGUGCUACAGGCUGUAUUCCUGUUUUAAUAGGUAAAAUUGCAAAUGCCACUUAAUUAGUUCUUAAACUUACAAAACAGCCUGAAUAGACUGCUGGACUUGGAGUCAGGAAGCAUUGGGGUUCUUGCCUCAAAAACUUAGUAGUAUUGCCUUAUGAAAAACAAUUUCUUUGGGCUUAAUUUAGCCUCCUUAUUUGAGAAUAUGAGGGAACUAGGUUGAGUUACUUCUUAGCUCUGAAUCUAUGAUGCCAGAAUCUUUUUUACCAUCAUCUAUGACUAGAUAAUUUCCGAUCUUCCUUCAACUUUAUGAUCUCCAUUAGAGUCCAGAAUUGGAACCAGGAAGGCUCGGGUUCAAGACCUACUCUGACAAAUAAGGUCCAUGUGACCCUAACAAAUUCAUUUACCCUCUCAAUAUUCUAGAUCAAACCCAAUUGCCUGAAUCAGAUUAAAAUAUAAUUGGGAAAUGCUUAAUAACAAAUAUAAUAAAACACAGAUAAUAUUACAUUUACAUUAAUAUGUGCCCCACAGGGAUCCUUAUAUACAGUUUUGUUGAGUAAUUUUCAGUCAUAUUUGACUCUUUGUGGUUUUCUUGGCAAAGAUACUGGAGUAGUUUGCUAUUUCUUUCUCUUGUCCAUUUUCCAGAUGAGGAAACUGAGGCAAACAGAGUUAAGUGACUUGCCCAGAGUCACACAGCUAGUGAAGCUAGAUUUGAAUUCAGGAGGAUGAGUUUCCCUGACUCUAGAACCAGUACUCUGUACACUAUGGUGUCACAUGGCUGCCCCAUGUUCAGAUUAAUGGUUUCCAUUUUUAUUUGAUUUUACAUUACUGUGCUGGCCAACUCUCUAAGACUCAAAGUUACCUUGGUUAGGGAGUCUCCUGACCUGGGAGUUCUCUAAAUCUGUGAAAUCAGUCCCUAUCCCUGUUCAUCAUCACUGACUAGUGAUGAUAAACCUUUUGCUCUGAUGUGAAAACAAACAUAACAAAUAUAUUCUAUAGAACUUGGUUAGCAUCAGAUACCUGGAAGAGGACAUUAUAAUUUUCAGCUUUGCUUUUAUAACGCUUCUUUGUUCAUAUUAUACAAUUUGAUGUAAAGAUAUUUGACUAUUUAGAAAUUUUCCAUUGAAUAUUCUCCCUUUGUCAGAUGGGGUUUGUAUGCAUGACGAAGGCUGGGGGAUUGUUUAAUUGGGCAUAAAUUAUUUCUCCGCUGGUUGACACAAAUAGACUAUACACGUGCUGGUGCUCGGUUUGAAACUUGUUACUAAGGUUUAUGAAUGGUCUUUGUAUUACACACUAUGUGCUAAGUUUUUAAAAUGUAGUGACAAUUUGGGCUUCUCACCUAACUGCUUGUUUCAUUUUGCCCUCCUCACAGGCCUCUGAAUAGUUUGUAAACUGGUAGAUGGGGAAACGGGUUUUUAUAAGAAAUCUGAAAAAUUUACUGCAAAAUAAAAGAUAUUUUGUUGUGAAAUUUUGCAAGCGCCUGAAGACAGCAAAAUGGGGUAGUCUGAA